CGAUACGAUCAUACCAGCACUAAAGCACCGGAUCCCAUCAGAACUCCGAAGUUAAGCGUGCUUGGGCGAGAGUAGUACUAGGAUGGGUGACCUCCUGGGAAGUCCUCGUGUUGCAUUCC
rnacentral:rRNA from 2 species